rnacentral:tRNA from 1 species
AAAGGGAGACCUAAUUCAGGUAGGAGACGAAAAAAAAGUAGUCGCUACCAAGAAUCAAUCCCAAAAGGUCGGAGCGAGGCGAAAUUGGCUUUCAAACUAGGUUCUGGGUUCACACAAGACCUGAAUCAGGAACAAGGGCUAUUAGCUCAGGUGGUUAGAGCGCACCCCUGAUAAGGGUGAGGUCCCUGGUUCGAGUCCAGGAUGGCCCACCUGCACAGGUGGCAAAAAAAGAGAAGCGAGGAAUCAGCACCUUAUCUUACUGACAUAGUAAGAGAGAAUGCUGGCUCUGAGUAAAGAGUCCAGAGGAACCUUGAAAACUGCAUAGAGCUAGGUGAAAAAGCCAAAAAAGAAGACCGCAUG